rnacentral:rRNA from 1 species
AUUGAACGCUGGCGGCAUGCCUUACACAUGCAAGUCGAACGGCAGCGGGCCUUCGGGUGCCGGCGAGUGGCGAACGGGUGAGUAAUGCAUCGGAACGUGCCAUUGAGUGGGGGAUAACGUAGCGAAAGUUGCGCUAAUACCGCAUAUUCUGUGAGCAGGAAAGCAGGGGACCGCAAGGCCUUGCGCUCUUUGAGCGGCCGAUGUCAGAUUAGCUAGUUGGUGAGGUAAAGGCUUACCAAGGCGACGAUCUGUAGCGGGUCUGAGAGGAUGAUCCGCCACACUGGAACUGAGACACGGUCCAGACUCCUACGGGAGGCAGCAGUGGGGAAUUUUGGACAAUGGGGGGCAACCCUGAUCCAGCCAUGCCGCGUGAGUGAAGAAGGCCUU